rnacentral:rRNA from 1 species
AUUGAACGCUGGCGGCAGGCCUAACACAUGCAGGUCGAACGGUAACAGGAAGAAGCUUGCUUCUUUGCUGACGAGUGGCGGACGGGUGAGUAGUGUCUGGGAAACUGCCUGAUGGAGGGGGAUAACUACUGGAAACGGUAGCUAAUACCGCAUAACGUCGCAAGACCAAAGAGGGGGACCUUCGGGCCUCUUGCCAUCGGAUGUGCCCAGAUGGGAUUAGCUAGUAGGUGGGGUAACGGCUCACCUAGGCGACGAUCCCUAGCUGGUCUGAGAGGAUGACCAGCCACACUGGAACUGAGACACGGUCCAGACUCCUACGGGAGGCAGCAGUGGGGAAUAUUGCACAAUGGGCGCAAGCCUGAUGCAGCCAUGCCGCGUGUAUGAAGAAGGCCUUCGGGUUGUAAAGUACUUUCAGCGGGGAGGAAGGGAGUAAAGUUAAUACCUUUACUCAUUGACGUUACCCGCAGAAGAAGCACCGGCUAACUCCGUG